GAUGAACGCUAGCUACAGGCUUAACACAUGCAAGUCGAGGGGCAGCAUGAACUUAGCUUGCUAAGUUUGAUGGCGACCGGCGCACGGGUGAGUAACACGUAUCCAACCUUCCGUUUACUCAGGGAUAGCCUUUCGAAAGAAAGAUUAAUACCUGAUAGUAUGGUGAGAUUGCAUGAUAACACCAUUAAAGAUUUAUUGGUAAACGAUGGGGAUGCGUUCCAUUAGGUAGUAGGCGGGGUAACGGCCCACCUAGCCUGCGAUGGAUAGGGGUUCUGAGAGGAAGGUCCCCCCACAUUGGAACUGAGACACGGUCCAAACUCCUACGGGAGGCAGCAGUGAGGAAUAUUGGUCAAAUGGGCGAGAGCCUGAACCAGCCAAGUAGCGUGAAGGAUGAAGGUCCUACGGAUUGUAAACUUCUUUAUACGGGAAUAAACGGAUCCACGUGUGGAUUUUUGCAUGUACCGUAUGAAUAAGGAUCGGCUAAACUCCGUG
rnacentral:rRNA from 1 species